CAGGAAGGGUCCCUUUUCCCAUCUGCUCUUGCUCCAGUGGCAGGAUGUGAUCCACCGGCAAGGGAGGAUGCCAAUAUGGUGUCCGAUAAGAUAAGUCUUAUAAAAUAUAUAGGUUUAUGAUAAUUAAGACUGAGCCAACAGAUGAGAAUCCUAGUCAUUGGUCAAGCAGCAUUGUACCUAAUACAAGUUUCUGUGUAUUCAUUUGGGUCCUAACUCAGGCGGGCAGUUGGCAUAAAGCUCACAUGUGGUGGUGGGGCUCAGGCGGCUUUUGGCAGAAAGAUUUAUCCUAACAAGUUUUAGCUAGCUAGGAAGAUCUAGCAGUCCAGCUUCCUGCUUGUGAAUUCUGGCUUCCACACUUCCUAAAGUCUGUUUGGCACAUUCAUCUUUUUGCAACCCCCGGAGAUUAACCAAGACCACUUCCAUGACCCUGGAUGUGCAGAUAUACAUCGAAGUAUAUGCAAUACCUUACAGCACUACUGAAGAUAGUCGAUAUGGAAUGAAGCUUCCAAGAGGAAAAUCCAAGAAAACAAAAUAUUGCCUCUGAGGCUUGAUUGUUUUUGACGAUGCUUAUGGAACUCUACAGAAAAAAAAAGGGCACAACUAUAUUCAAUAGUGAAAACAGACGUUGGAAAAAUAUUUUAUUCUAUAUUAUGCUGUUACCUCAGUCUCAUCAUGAAUUUGAGAAGAAAGAAGAUUGUAAUUUCAAAGGGAUAUGAAAAAUUAGACUCACUAUACCUGGAACCUGAUAAAUUAGUUCCUAUCAUUGUAUUUCUGCUGUGUUACUGCAUAUCAGUCCUUGACAAUGACAUUAGUGUGCUAUGUAGUGAUCAAGCAAUGCAAAGUUUUUAUUCUACAUUUCUAUUAAUUAGUAAAUAUAAUUAAUAAAUCUGAGUAAUAUAAUAAACAUAUAUAUAUAAUUAUA
rnacentral:lncRNA from 1 species